UGGGGAAUCUUGCGCAAUGGGCGAAAGCCUGACGCAGCGACGCCGCGUGAGGGAAGAAGGCCUUCGGGUUGUAAACCUCUUUCAGCAGGGACGAAGCUACUCGGGUUAACAGCCCAGAGGGUGACGGUACCUGUAGAAGAAGCCCCGGCUAACUACGUGCCAGCAGCCGCGGUAAUACGUAGGGGGCAAGCGUUGUCCGGAUUUACUGGGCGUAAAGAGCGUGUAGGCGGCCAAGCAGGUCUGUUGUGAAAACUGGAGGCUCAACCUCCAGACGUCGACAGAAACCGCUUGGCUAGAGUCCGGAAGAGGAGAGUGGAAUUCCUGGUGUAGCGGUGAAAUGCGCAGAUAUCAGGAAGAACACCAAUGGCGAAGGCAGCUCUCUGGGACGGUACUGACGCUGAGACGCGAAAGCGUGGGGAGCGAACAGG
rnacentral:rRNA from 1 species